CGAAACUAUUUGGUAAACUUUUCUUUAGCUUAGAGCUUUAUAAAUUAAAAGGUAUUUUUUUAAAAAAGGAGGAGGAGUAUAGAUAAUAUUACCGGAAAUAGUUAUAGCUUAUAUAGAAGAUAGUUUUCAAGUUAAAAUGAACGGGUAAAAUCAGUUCCUAGGUAAUAGUGUAUUUGAAUGGUUUAGUUUGAUAAUUAAAAUUUGAGAUGAGAAGUUUCUAAAAUAGAAAAGUGUUUUUACUUUAGUUUAGCUUUCCAGGCACUUUUAUUAACUCUUCUAAGUUAAUUUGUAGUAUAAUUUUAUGCUGGAAUUAGUAAAUGAAUGAGUACACAAAAACUUGAGGUUAGCUCCAACUGUUUAACAAAAACAUUGCUUUCAUGAAGAUGUUGAAGGUAAGGCCUGCUCAGUGAUUACUAUAAACAGCCGCGGUAUUUAAGCCGCGCGAAGGUAGCAUAAUUAAUUGUCUUUUAAUUGGUGACUUGUUUGAAUGGCUUAAUGAGGGCUAAUCUUUUUGUGUACUCAAGUGAACUUAUUUUCUGGGGUCAAAAAACCCAGAUUUUCAAAAAAGAAGAGAAGACCCUGAUGAGUUUUACAACUAAGUUGUUUUAAUGGGGCCUUAUAAUUUAUUGCAUAUUAUUUUUGAUCCUACCUUGAGGAAAAAGGGAUAAAUUACCACAGGGAUAACAGGACAAAAUUUGCUAGGAGUACGUAUCUAAGCAAGAGAAUGUUACCUCGAUGUUGAAUCAAAGUUAACUUUUAGGCGCAGAAGUUUUUGGAGUGGGUCUGUUCGACCCUUUAAACUUUACG
rnacentral:rRNA from 1 species